CCCUUAGAUGUCCGGGGCCGCACGCGCGCUACACUGAAGGAAUCAGCGUGGCUUUCUCCCUGACCCGAAAGGGUUGGGAAACCCGUUGAAUCUCCUUCGUGAUAGGGAUUGGGGCUUGAAAUUGUUCCCCAUGAACGAGGAAUUCCCAGUAAGCGCGAGUCAUAAGCUCGCGUUGAUUACGUCCCUGCCCUUUGUACACACCGCCCGUCGCUACUACCGAUUGAACGGUUUAGUGAGGGCCUCGGAUUGGUCUCGGCGCGCUCUUUACCGGGCGGCGCCGUUGGUCGAGAAGACGCUCGAACUUGAUCGUUUAGAGGAAGUAAAAGUCGUAACA
rnacentral:rRNA from 1 species